CAUAGGUGGUUAGCUGUUCUUGCGGACGGCUGCUCCCGACCAGCGGAGCAGCCCCAGACAGAGGAGGAGCAUCUGGAGGAAGCAGACGUACCCGAUCUAGUUGUUUUGCUUUGCAGUGGAGCUGAGGAGCGAUCUUGUAAUAUUGGAGGAGCAGUUCCUCCUGAGAUUGGUCUCUGCCACAGGUUGGCCAGUCUCUCAUCAGACCAAAGAAGUAGUGGCCACCCUGAGCCCAUCCCUAGGGAUGGAAGCCGGACGGUAAUCUGCAGAAGGGAUCGUCCAGGAGCCACAGCUAGAGGAGAAACUGGAAGAAAUGAACCUGAGCUGCCUGGACAUCCUUGUAAGCAGAGAUGAACAGUCCUCAGUUUUCUGCCUUCCACAUAACUGGCUGUUUGGCAUUUCUGACCAGAGCCUGCUAUGCAGAUUGCAAAGGAAAAGAAGUCACGCAUCAGUCCACCGUCCUCAUGUGAUGGAAGGGGAGCAAGAGCGCUGAGACCGCGAGGAUUGUUGAUGCCGCGCAAAAGACGUCCAUCUGGGAGUGGAACAGCCGUCACUGUCAGUGAGAUAAGUGUCUGGUUUGGUGGUUCCUCUGCUCACUGCCCACCUCGCUCCUGGUAGGGGCGCCCUGUUAGCUAGGGCUGAGUUUGUAAGAAAAGGUUCCUGACUAGUGGUUAUGAGGGAGACAAGGUCCCCAUUUUCAGAAGCUGCUCAGUUCUCUGGCCAGGGGCGGCGUGUCCUCUGCAGCAGAAAGUUGGAUCCAGGAGGAUGACUCCAAGUUGCUUGCCUUCCUCCCACGUUUUUCUGUCUCUCUCCUCUAAUGUGUUGGCCAACACAAACUCUGUGUCUCUGUCUCUCUCUCUCUCUCUCUCUCUCUCCUUGCCUCACCUGGUGCUGUCUCCCUUCGUAGCACACAGGCAGGUGUGGUAGGUAUGCAUCCCCACAGGCUAGGUCUUGGGAGCUAUGAACAAGUAAGGGACCGAAAUGACGCAGGGCAGUGGGCGCUAGAGUGCAGUGGUGGCUGUGGGUGUUGACUGAGUCUCUGCUCUAAUGGGGCUGAGAUGGGAGAGGGAGGCAAGGAUGAGGGAAAGAUUUCACACACCAAUUGAACUUUGUGUAGUGAUGGCUCUUGUUUGGCUUAUUUGCUGCUCUUGCAGCGGAAUCGUCCAGGAGCAGCAGCUGGGGGAGAAAUUGGCAGAUGUGGACAUGAGCAGCCUGAACAUCCUUCUAAGCAGACAUGAACUGUCCUCAGCUUUCUGCCUCCUGCUUAACUGGCUCUGCGCUGGCAGAGGAAUUGUCCAGGAGGCCCCCUGGAUGAGAGACUCUCAGAAGUAGACCGAUCAGCCUGAACAUCCUUCUAAGCAGACAUGAAUAGUCCUCAGCUUUCCGCCUCCCACAUAACUGGCUUUGACUAAGCUGUCAGUUCUUUGAAUUCCUCACUUGUAUUCCCUGUAGUAUUCUUCACAGGCCGUAUGUUUCCUCAUUGUGGCUUUGUUGAUGCUGGCUUUGGGCAGGACAAUUCUGAGUGUGCCAAUUCACGACAAAUUGAUUAAAACAGGGCAGUUACAGCCCAAUGCUGGGGUUCCUGUGUACUCCAAGGCAAACCAGACCACUCAAACAGAGAAGACUUUGGUUUUACCCCGCUGGCUAACGGUAAGGCACACCAGCAAUUCCCUUAGACACUCCAGUUUCCCAGUAUCACCACGAGUGCAUCACAUUCUAGGGACGAAUGGUUAUGAAAACCAACACCCCAGUAAAAGAAAAAAGGUUGUCCCGAUCCCAAAAGACCAAGCCCUAGACACAGGUCAAUAUACAAAUCAGAUCUUACCCACAAAUCACACUGUUGCCAAUCCUUCAGAA